rnacentral:rRNA from 1 species
CAGCAGCCGCGGUAAUACGAAGGGGGCUAGCGUUGCUCGGAAUUACUGGGCGUAAAGGGAGCGUAGGCGGAUCGUUAAGUUGGGGGUGAAAGCCCGGGGCUCGACCUCGGAAUUGCCUUCAAUACUGGCGAUCUUGAGUAUGGAAGAGGUAUGUGGAACUCCGAGUGUAGAGAUGAAAUUCGUAGAUAUUCGGAAGAACACCAGUGGCGAAGGCGACAUACUGGUCCAUUACUGACGCUGAGGCUCGAAAGCGUGGGGAGCAAACAGGAUUAGAUACCCCUGUAGUCCCUGUCUCUUAUAC